AAACUAUAGUGCGGACACUGAAUUUUCAUAUUAUUUAAUCCCUCCCAUGCCUCAAAAAAUGUCUCAUCUACCUAUUGAGUGAAUUGCAUGAUAUUAUCACUCAAUGU